rnacentral:rRNA from 1 species
UACAGAGGUGGCAAGCGUUGUUCGGAAUUACUGGGCGUAGAGGGCGCGUAGGCGGUGUGUCAAGUCAGGCGUGAAAGCCCCGGGCUCAACCUGGGAACAGCGCUUGAGACUGGCACGCUCGAGUUCGGGAGAGGAUGGUGGAAUUCCCAGUGUAGAGGUGAAAUUCGUAGAUAUCAAGCAGAACACCUGCGGCGAAGGCGGCCUUCUGGACGAUGACUGACGCUGAGACGCGAAAGCGUGGGGAGCAAACAGG